rnacentral:rRNA from 1 species
GUUCGUUGGGUAGGGGAGCGUUCUGUAAGCCUGUGAAGGUGUGUCGUGAGGCAUGCUGGAGGUAUCAGAAGUGCGAAUGCUGACAUAAGUAACGAUAAAGCGGGUGAAAAGCCCGCUCGCCGGAAGACCAAGGGUUCCUGUCCAACGUUAAUCGGGGCAGGGUGAGUCGACCCCUAAGGCGAGGCCGAAAGGCGUAGUCGAUGGGAAACGGGUUAAUAUUCCCGUACUUGGUGUUACUGCGAAGGGGGGACGGAGAAGGCUAUGUUGGCCGGGCGACGGUUGUCCCGGUUUAAGCGUGUAGGUGUGUGUUCCAGGUAAAUCCGGUUCACUUUAACACUGAGGCGUGACGACGAGGCACUACGGUGCUGAAGCAACAAAUGCCCUGCUUCCAGGAAAAGCCUCUAAGCAUCAGGUAACAUCAAAUCGUACCCCAAACCGACACAGGUGGUCAGGUAGAGAAUACCAAGGCGCUUGAGAGAACUCGGGUGAAGGAACUAGGCAAAAUGGUGCCGUAACUUCGGGAGAAGGCACGCUGACACGUAGGUGAAGUGAUUUACUCAUGGAGCUGAAGUCAGUCGAAGAUACCAGCUGGCUGCAACUGUUUAUUAAAAACACAGCACUGUGCAAACACGAAAGUGGACGUAUACGGUGUGACGCCUGCCCGGUGCCGGAAGGUUAAUUGAUGGGGUCAGCGCAAGCGAAGCUCCUGAUCGAAGCCCCGGUAAACGGCGGCCGUAACUAUAACGGUCCUAAGGUAGCGAAAUUCCUUGUCGGGUAAGUUCCGACCUGCACGAAUGGCGUAAUGAUGGCCAGGCUGUCUCCACCCGAGACUCAGUGAAAUUGAACUCGCUGUGAAGAUGCAGUGUACCCGCGGCAAGACGGAAAGACCCCGUGAACCUUUACUAUAGCUUGACACUGAACAUUGAGCCUUGAUGUGUAGGAUAGGUGGGAGGCUUUGAAGCGUGGACGCCAGUCUGCGUGGAGCCGACCUUGAAAUACCACCCUUUAAUGUUUGAUGUUCUAACGUGGACCCGUGAUCCGGGUUGCGGACAGUGUCUGGUGGGUAGUUUGACUGGGGCGGUCUCCUCCUAAAGAGUAACGGAGGAGCACGAAGGUUGGCUAAUCCUGGUCGGACAUCAGGAGGUUAGUGCAAUGGCAUAAGCCAGCUUGACUGCGAGCGUGACGGCGCGAGCAGGUGCGAAAGCAGGUCAUAGUGAUCCGGUGGUUCUGAAUGGAAGGGCCAUCGCUCAACGGAUAAAAGGUACUCCGGGGAUAACAGGCUGAUACCGCCCAAGAGUUCAUAUCGACGGCGGUGUUUGGCACCUCGAUGUCGGCUCAUCACAUCCUGGGGCUGAAGUAGGUCCCAAGGGUAUGGCUGUUCGCCAUUUAAAGUGGUACGCGAGCUGGGUUUAGAACGUCGUGAGACAGUUCGGUCCCUAUCUGCCGUGGGCGCUGGAGAACUGAGGGGGGCUGCUCCUAGUACGAGAGGACCGGAGUGGACGCAUCACUGGUGUUCGGGUUGUCAUGCCAAUGGCACUGCCCGGUAGCUAAAUGCGGAAGAGAUAAGUGCUGAAAGCAUCUAAGCACGAAACUUGCCCCGAGAUGAGUUCUCCCUGAGACUUAGAGUCUCCUGAAGGAACGUUGAAGACGACGACGUUGAUAGGCCGGGUGUGUAAGCGCAGCGAUGCGUUGAGCUAACCGGUACUAAUGAACCGUGAGGCUUAACCUU